ACAAAGAAAGAGAAAGCAGGUUUCGAGCUGGUGCCAAUUCAGCUUGGUGUGCAGUGGGCUUAGCAGUGUGUGUAAGAGUACUUAUUGGUGUGUUUAAAAGCAGGGCCAGUCCAGUGAGUAACUGCUACUCCCAGAGACGUGGGCAUGGCCGUGGCCACCAGCUGACGAUGCAGUAGGAAGGCGGCAUCGAGCUUUCCCGUUGUGCUUUCAGCAGGAUCUGCCAAGGGGAAGGUGGUGAAACAUCUUCCUAAAACCCGAUCAGAGAUCCUCAUGAGAAGGCUGCUGAGGAAGGUAGUCACUGAACAAUCAAACAACAUGGGAGAUGUCACCACACAUGAUGGUCCAAGUGUUGUCAAGGAGAUAUUGGAUGCUUAGCAGAAAUACAUGGAGAAGAGUUCCUCUAGCAGAUGGCUCUGGAAUCUCUCUCCUCUGGAAAUGCGGAAGGUCUCAAAUAACCAGCCAAACGACAUAGUUCUCUCUUGGUGUUUUUUAAAAAUCUCUCUGUUCCCUGCUAGGGGAACAAGAUUUUCCGCUCCACAGCGUAUUUUGAGAUGCACAGAGCUAGGAGCAAUCUGCAGUUCUGCACAGUCAUGAUGACAACUGGAUCAGCUGUAGGAAUGGACUUCACCACUUCCUUGGUCUUCAAGUUUUUUCUCUUUAUAAACCACCUGUGCAAACACUGCGCUGCCCAGGAGAGGGUGAGAGAAUGUGUGGAUGAUGCUAACGAGACCUGCAGUGAAAUAAAUGAGAUUCCUCUUUCUUCUUCCAGAGGACUUGCUUGGAACAUCUAUUUGAAAAGGGAAGGUGUUAGCAUUAUGUUCAGCCUGAGUCCUUCAUGAAUGCUGCUGAUCUCAAGUGGCUUAGUAUUUCUCCUGUGUUCAUAAACAAAUGCUUCCUGGCUAUUCUGCCUUGUUAACUUAGGUGAAGCGCAUGUGAGAGAAGGAGGAAUGUCUGGAGAAUGAAACCAAGAUGAAUAUGUAUUUGUCUUCACUCAGAAACAUCCAAAAUGCUUUCUUGUUAGCCUGCUUGAAUAUGACACAGUAACAAAAGAACUGAAAGUCUGAAUGGUGGGGCUGAGGUUUCCCAAUGGUGUCCAGCUCUCUCCUGCAGAAGACUUUGUCCUGGUGCAGGAGACAACCCUGGCUAGUAUCAGGAGGUGAGUAUGACUUAGCUGAAAUUAUUGGUACUCUCUGUUUAGAGAUUGUGUGAAUAAAUGAGUUGAAUGACAAAAGAAAUCCUACACUCUCUUCGUGCCUAGUUAGCAACGGCAAAGAAGGUGGCCUUCCUCAAUACUUAAUUUUUUUCUUUCACUGUAAACAUCUGGACUGCAUAAUCUUUCCAUCAUGGGCUCCUUGAGCAUAGUGAGUAAGCUGACUUUUUCUGGGGAGAGGAAUGCGGCUCUGCUGCAUUUCCCUGUACCAAAACAAGGAAAAAAAUAAAUUCUUUUUAUUUUUGAAAGUGAA